rnacentral:rRNA from 1 species
UACGGAGGGUGCAAGCGUUGUCCGGAUUUAUUGGGUUUAAAGGGUGCGUAGGAGGGCAGGUAAGUCAGUGGUGAAAUCUCCAAGCUUAACUUGGAAACUGCCGUUGAUACUAUCUGUCUUGAAUGUUGUGGAGGUGAGCGGAAUAUGUCAUGUAGCGGUGAAAUGCUUAGAUAUGACAUAGAACACCAAUUGCGAAGGCAGCUCACUACACAAUUAUUGACUCUGAGGCACGAAAGCGUGGGGAUCAAACAGG